rnacentral:rRNA from 1 species
AUUGAACGCUGGCGGCAGGCCUAACACAUGCAAGUCGAACGAGUGGCGGACGGGUGAGUAAUGUCUGGGAAACUGCCCGAUGGAGGGGGAUAACUACUGGAAACGGUAGCUAAUACCGCAUACCAUCGGAUGUGCCCAGAUGGGAUUAGCUAGUAAGUGGGGUAACGGCUCACCUAGGCGACGGUCCCUAGCUGGUCUGAGAGGAUGACCAGCCAAACGGGAAAUGAGACACGGUGCAGGCUCCUAAGGGAAGGAGCAGUGGGGAAUAUUGCACAAGGGGCGGAAGCCUGAUGCAGUCAUGCAGGGUGUAUGAAGAAGGCCUUCGGGUUGUAAAGUACUUUCAGCGAGGAGGCGUUACUCGCAGAAGAAGCACCGGCUAACUCCGUGCCAGCAGCCCGGUAAUUC